AUUGAACGCUGGCGGAAUGCUUUACACAUGCAAGUCGAACGGCAGCACGGGGCAACCUGGUGGCGAGUGGCGAACGGGUGAGUAAUACAUCGGAACGUGCCCAAUCGUGGGGGAUAACGUAGCGAAAGUUACGCUAAUACCGCAUACGAUCUACGGAUGAAAGCGGGGGAGUCGCAAGACCUCGCGCGAAUGGAGCGGCCGAUGUCAGAUUAGGUAGUUGGUGGGGUAAAGGCUCACCAAGCCAACGAUCUGUAGCUGGUCUGAGAGGACGACCAGCCACACUGGAACUGAGACACGGUCCAGACUCCUACGGGAGGCAGCAGUGGGGAAUUUUGGACAAUGGGGGCGAACCCUGAUCCAGCCAUGCCGCGAGAGUGAAGAAGGCCUUCGGUUGUAAAGUACUCUUUCGGUCCGGGACGGAAAGUACGU
rnacentral:rRNA from 1 species